UGUUCUUCGCGAUGAACUUGAUGAUUG
rnacentral:sRNA from 1 species